rnacentral:rRNA from 1 species
UAGAGUUUGAUCCUGGCUCAGGAUGAACGCUGGCGGUCUGCUUAACACAUGCAAGUCGAACGGACUUCUUCGGAAGUUAGUGGCGGACGGGUGAGUAACACGUGAGAAUCUGCCCUCAGAAUGGGGAUAACGACUGGAAACGGUCGCUAAUACCCGAUGUGCCGAAAGGUGAAAGAUUUAUCGUCUGAGGAUGAGCUCGCGGCGGAUUAGGUAGUUGGAGUGGUAAGAGCACCCCAAGCCGACGAUCCGUAGCUGGUCUGAGAGGAUGACCAGCCACACUGGAACUGAGAGACGGUCCAGACUCCUACGGGAGGCAGCAGUGGGGAAUUUUCCGCAAUGGGCGCAAGCCUGACGGAGCAAGACCGCGUGGGGGAUGACGGUUUGUGGAUUGUAAACCCCUUUUCUCAGGGAAGAAUGAUGACGGUACCUGAGGAAUCAGCCUCGGCUAACUCCGUGCCAGCAGCCGCGGUAAUACGGAGGAGGCAAGCGUUAUCCGGAAUUAUUGGGCGUAAAGCGUCCGUAGGUGGUUAAUCAAGUCAGUUGUCAAAGCGUGGGGCUUAACUCCAUACAGGCAGUUGAAACUGAUUGACUAGAGUGCGGUAGGGGUUGGGGGAAUUCCCUGUGUAGCGGUGAAAUGCGUAGAGAUGUGGAGGAACACCAGUGGCGAAGGCGACUCUUUGGUCUGUAACUGACGCUGAGGCGCGAAAGCGUGGGGAGCAAACAGGAUUAGAUACCCUGGUAGUCCACGCCGUAAACGAUGAGUGCUAAGUGUUAGAGGGUUUCCGCCCUUUAGUGCUGCAGCAAACGCAUUAAGCACUCCGCCUGGGGAGUACGGCCGCAAGGCUGAAACUCAAAGGAA